AUACUUACUUGCCAGGGGAGAUCCCAUGAUCACCAAGGUGGUUUUCCCAGGAUGAGGCUCAUUCAUUGCACUGUGGGUGUGCUGACCUUUGCGAUUUCCUCAAAAGCGGACAACUCGACUGCAUAAUUUGUGGUAGUGGGGGACUGCGUUGAUGCCCUUCCUUG